rnacentral:rRNA from 1 species
GCCUGCCCAGUGAACACAUUAAACGGCCGCGGUAUCCUAACCGUGCAAAGGUAGCGCAAUCACUUGUUCUUUAAAUCAGGACUAGUAUGAACGGCGACAUGAGGAUUAACUUGUCUCUCAUAAUAAGUCUAUGAAACUGAUCUCCCAGUUCAAAAGCUGGAAUAAUACCACAAGACGAGAAGACCCUGUGGAGCUUCAGCCCCGCGGGGCCAUCACUAAUGGCCCCCGGUCUUUAGUUGGGGCGACUUUGGAGAAAAACAGAACCUCCAACAACAAAACUUAAGACAGCCAUGCCUAUACCACCACCAACGCACGACCCAAUACAAUUGAAUAACGAACCAAGUUACCCCAGGGAUAACAGCGCAAUCUUCUUCUAGAGUCCCUAUCGACAAGAAGGCUUACGACCUCGAUGUUGGAUCCGGAUACCCAAAUAGUGCAGCCGCUAUUAAAGGUUCGUUUGUUCAACGAUUAAUAAUCCCACGUGAUCUGAGUUCAGACCGG